UCCACCGCGCGGUGGUGCCGUGUCCCUGUUGGAUCCCUCUCUUUCUGACAGGACGAGGCAUUGGUGAGCUCUGUCAACACUUGUGACAGGUUGGCCACAUUGGUACUUUUGCCCCUGUUGUUUGAAACCAAAGAUGGGUGACAGUGACGGUUGAGGUGCCCCAUGUGCUCAGGGCUCAAAUGGGAAACAGAGAGGGUUUCUGGAACACGUUUGGCAAUCCCUUCUGAGUUUUCCACUGAGACCCAGACACAGACAAUCUUUUGGCUCAUGCCAGGUGGCCGUCCUUCUCUCAGCACUUUCCCAGUGCAUGAGGCCUGUGCGCUGAGUUAGCACUGUCUUCCCACUGCUGGAAAUUCAUGUCUGUGCUCUGUACCAACGGUGAAUGCCAACUUGCUGUACUUGGCUCAUGCAACUGAGAUGAUAGGGUCUCACUUGUCCUUGAUGACGGCUGUAGGUUGAGUUCAGGUUUUCACUUAAGUAAAUAAUAAUUCCAGCCUUCAGCUGGGGAGGGGGACUGACAUGUCACUGGGCAUGGCCUUUGGCAUUCUAAAGCAACCUGUGACCCAACUGGGAUGGACUUCCCCUCUCCACCUCACCCAGGUUGCUAGAAGAAGUAACUAUGGGUCUUUGGCAACUCUUCCCCAGGAUGCAUGAUGAGGAUUGGGAAACACUGAAUUAUGAAAUAAAGGAAGGCAGUUGUGCUUUUGUCAUCCCUGGCACAUGUGUCCUAAGUUACAGUAAUGAGAUCAGAGCUCUCACGGGGUACCAAAGGGCACCUCGCUAUUAAGCAAUUUGUUUUUCAGUGUGUUCUCGUCAACAGACUCAGUAGGCGAUGGGUGACCUGAUGGGAAUGACUUUGGGUGGUUAUAGUUGGGAAACAAGUUAACGCUCACUGAUAACUGUCUCUGGGUGGAAUGAGGAAACCGCUAGGAUUCCAGAAGGCUGUUGUUUGAAGGGUGCACUCGGUUCCAAGAAGAGAUGGGAGGAGCAGGAAAUGUGAAGAUAUGUGCUACCCAUUAAUUGACUUGUAUCGUGUGGCAAAUUGUCCCCAUCUCAGGGCUCAUGACCCCUGUUACAUUCAGAAGAGCGAGCAGGCGUUUGUGGAGACAGAUGUAUCCUCUCCUCAUCUCUAAUCCCCUGAGCCUGUCCAGGCAUACAGCCACUGCUUCCCUGAAUCCUCCCCGGAUCAGCUAUUGUUUCUCAUAUCUGCUGUUUCCUUCUUUUUCCCCCUCAAGCAACCCUGUUCCAGGCACUCUUCUUCUUCGCUGCUGUCGGCACCCAGUGUCACUGUACUGCCUGACACGGUCUCACCACAGCGUGGCAAACAUCGGAGCAGUCGACCUUGGCACACAUGACAUCUCUAAGGAAAAGGACCAAACGUGCACCUACGGCCUCUGAUUCAAACUCCUUCUCAGUUUCUUCUGUUCAUGCGGAGCCUCUCACUCCUAUUGCACUAGCGACAGCCCACCCGCUCCUCAGCCACGGUCCCAGAGCCGUGCGUUCUCUCAGAGAGAGCUUUGUUGGGCAGCUGUGCCCAGCUCUUACUUUUUUAAAAUAACUUUUUACAGUGGAAAAGUUUAAACAUAUAUAAAAGUGGAGAGAAUAGUGUAAUGAACCCCAUGUACCCAUCACCCGGCUUCAACAAAUAUCCAUAUAUGGCCAAUCUUGGUUCUUCUCUACUCCCACCCUCUGCCUUCCACCGGAUUAUUAUAAAGCGAAUCAGAGAUGUUGCAUAACUUCUUCAUAAAUCCUUCAAAAUAUAUCUCUAAGAGACAAGGACUUUUUAUAAACAUAACUGUAAUUCUAUUAUUAUGCCUAAAACACAUAGUAAUUCCUUAGUAUGAUGAAAUAUCUAGUGUUUAAACUUCCCUGAUAGUCUCAUGAUUUGUUUUUUUUUUUUACAUUUGGUUUCUCAGAAUCAGGAUCCAAACAAGGUCCACAUGUUACACGUGUUGAUACAUUUUGUAAGUCUUCUGAAAGAAUGACCUAACCCGAAGUGUUGAUAGUGCCGCUGCUGAGAAACCCGCUGUUGGUGUCGUUUAACAAUUUAUCCUCCCUCUGGUUCCUGUAAACUAGUAGUUAGAUGGCACUGCAUUCAGGUUGAGUCUUGUGGCGAGACUAUCUCACGGGCGUCUCUGUGCACUUCCUAUCGCAUCACAUCAGGAGGCACAUGAUGUCGGCUUUUCUCUUGUUUGUGAUGUUAAGAAUUGAUCUGUGCCUUUGGGUGUUGAGGGUCUGAUUCUUCCAUUAGAAAGUUCCCAUCAGCUAAUGGUUUACCAUCUGUCAAUGAUCAUUAGGCAGAUCGAUUAUUUCAUUUAGAUUCUAGCAUUAUUUCUACAUUUGUUAGGUGUAAGUCUUCUCUAAAGAACUUUCCUGCAUCAAUGAUAAGCCAAGGUCCAGUGCACACAAGAUGCUUUUUUUAAAAGCAGUUAUCAGAAUAAUGAUUUGGUUCCUUAGCAUGCUCCAGAGGUAACUGGUGAAGUUUUCUUUUUUAAAGUAUCCUUAUAAACUCAUGAAUUUUAACAGGGAUGAUGUGAACAAUUCUGUGCCGUCUAUUCCUUUUGAUGCGCUUAUUGUUCCACCUUAGCCUGGUGGAAGCCUAUUAUAAAUUGUCUCCUUUGUCCUCUGGAUGCGACCACAGUAGUCUUCCUUGCUUUCUGGCAUGACAAGGUGUUCCAGAUUCAUCUCAUAUCUUUCCUAUCCCUAACCUAGAAUCAGACAUUUCUCCAAGGGGACCUGAUUCUUUUUAGUAGGAAUUUAGUAGGAUUUAGAGACCACAACCAGCUGGGUCUAGUUUUUGAAGACUUUGCAUAAAUACUGAUGAGCGUGUAAGAGAUACACACAGAGGGGACCCAAGCCUUGCACGUGGGCGUGAUCACCCACCAGUGCAUUUUUCACCAGCUGUAUUAAACAAAAUAACUCCUGCCCGCACCCCCUCAAACAGGGGUUUGAGGUCCCGAUGUUUGAAAGUCCCUUCACCUCUACAAGACCUUGCCUGAGUCUGAUUCCUAGACCUUCUUUUCUGGGGUGAAGCAGAUUACCAACAACCAUGGGAUUCUUUCCUCUUGCCCUACCGGCUAGCACAGGCUUCUGCGGGAGGAGGCUCAGGCUGAGGACUUGCAAGGAUUCUGCAGUACUCCAGAGGUUGCUCCAGCCAGAGCUGCCCCUGUGUGCUGUUCUGUGAGCCCCGGAGGCUGCACCAGCCCUUCCAGAAUGGUGCCUGCCUUUGGGGAGUUUCUCCUCACACACCUAUCUCCUAACUCAGGAUUGCUAAUUUUGUUCUAAGAUAUUGCCCACAAGGACUGAGUCCUGUGCCCCUACACAGACCGAGGAACAGAUCCACAACACCUGGAGUCUUGGAUAGCUUACCAUAGACCCUCCUUAAUCUGUCUCCGUGGUUCAGGACCAGGUUUACUGGUCCUCCCAGCUGCUGAGAAACCUUGUAGGGGAGGAGCCCUGAGCGGUGUCCUGUGGACCUCACCGAGCCACCUGGUGCCCUCGGCUGCUGCAGUGGAGGCAUCAAAUAUGGUUGGCCCUGCAUUACUAGGCAGGGGCAGUGAAAAGGAAGGUGAAUGAUGGAGAAAACCAGUGACAGUGUUAAGCUCUGUAGGAGUACAUUUAUAUGUUAGCCAAGUUAAUUGCAAAUUGCGCAGAAGCCAGUCUGAGCUUCCAGACUGUUCCAGUCUGUUUAAAGGGCAGGAAAACAUAGAUCUUAUUGUUAUACUAUAAAAGUAAUGCCACUCGCCCAUAGUGGGGGCGUCUUCAUAGCAGGCAUCUCUGCCACCUCCCUGGCCUUGAGGGGCCUCCAUGGCACUGGCUGGUCUGUGUUCACAGGGCACUGACUAGACGGGUGUUCUGCAGAGUCGCCUUCAAAGCAGCUCCUGGACAUUUUCUCUCACAAAUCUCAAGAUUGGCUCUAAAAAAAAAUCCUGACGUCAGCAGCCUCUAAGGCCUCUCUGAGAAUAAAAUGCAGUUUAUAUGUCUACUGAGUGUUACUUGUUUGCAGCUGGGGAGAAAGUCAUAGAUGCCUCCUUUCUGUGAAUGGGGCCAGGAGGGAGGGUGCCAGGAGAGCAUGUAGUUAGUCAUUUUUAUAUAGGACAGGCCCAACGGGGUCCAGAUCCUUUCCUGCCAAGCACUUCCUUGCCCUUUGCAAACACUGGGGUCCUUAAGAGCCAGGGAGUCAGGUGAGGUUACCUGGAAUUUUAGAAUAAGAAAGGACUAACAGAUUUCAACACUAUCACUUUUCUUUCAAAUGAAAUCUAGCCCAGAUCCCCACUGUAUAAAGCAGAGGUUAAGUGGCUGAAUGGCAGGGGCACCAGAGCCAAGGAUGUUGGGCUCUUCCGAUGCUCUGUCCCCCGCAACAACCCCUGGGCUCCAAGAAGGACUUUUUGAGACGUGCGGAUGGCAAUAGUAUGGCAAACUUCCCCUGAAGCUUGGCUCCCCCGCCCCUCUUCCCUCUAAUCAACCCUGAAAGUGCUAAAGAAGAGAGAGAAUGGGAGGUGGAUCUGAGAAAAGAAUAUAAAAAACCAAGGAACACUCAGGCUACAGAAGGUGUGGGUGGAAGAGGGCCUGAUGCCACACCUGGGGGCCAGGCGUCGGGGUGCGCAUCCUUUUCUCUCUCUUCUAUAGUAUUUUUGGAUGGGUUAUCGCCUGUUUCAUCACAUCCCAGAAAUGAGCACUGCCAGCCCAGUGCCACGAGGUCAGUGGGGUGACAUUAGGGCUGCGUUCCAUCCGUGCUGGGGCAGGUGCACAUAACAUAUGUGCAGGCAGAUCUGCCAGCCACAUGGAGUCCCCCCUCCCCAGCCCUCUAUGCUUCAAGGCAAGCUGACUGCAAUCCAGGCAGAUGGGACUUAGAUUAGAAAGCGGUGAUCAGGAUGGAGGUAUGAGGAUGUCCCCUGAGGGGCAGAGUCACUUGUGAGUUGUGGCAGGUGGAGGGUGGUUGAGUCCAAAUGGCAGCGCCAGACGGUCUCCCACCCUAGGGUGUGGCCCACCCACUCCGCUGACCCACCAGGGACUUAGCUCCCCCCAUCACAUGGGUACACAUCACUAGCCAAGGUAGUCAAGACUCCCAGGAGAAUGUGAGAUCACAGGAAACAAUAAUGAGGCAUGAAAUAAGAUGGUGGAACUAAGAGUCAACAUAAUAGUAAAAUAAAUGUAAAUAGAUUAAACUCGCCCAUCCCAAAAUGGAGAUUUCCAGAUUAAAUUUUAAAAAGACCUUUUAGCAGUAUGCUUUCUACAGGAGACAUGAAAAGAUACAGAAAUGUUUAAUACUAAUUGACAAAAGAGAAUUUUAAAACAUCAAAAUGGACAAACAGAAUAUUAGAAUAUUAUGUUUUGGUAAGAGGAACAAUAUAUCAAGAAGAUAUAAUGAUAAAGAUAAAUCUAUCAAUAUUGUCUCAAAUAUAUAAAGCAGUUACCAAUAGGACUAAAGGGAGAAAUAAUAAAUCAAUAAUUGUAAUCAGAAAUUCAUAGACUCUUCUCAGAAACUGACAGAUCAAGCAUUAAAAAAAAGCAGAUAAGACGUGAACUACACAAUAAGCUGUAGGUUAUUUAUUUAUAUAUACAUAUAUGUAUAUAUAUUUGCAAAAAUCAACGAUGUAUUAAGCCACAAAAAAUGCCAUAAUUUCAAAGAAUCAACAUCAUAGAGACCAUGGUUCUUUGACCAUAAUACAAUAAGUGAAAUACAAAACAAAAGAAUAGACACUCCCCCCCACCCCCCCCCACCAAUCAUUUGCUGAAAGCUAAUAAAAUCACUACUAAAUCACUCUUGGGUUAAAGACAGAAACAUAAGAGAAAUUCAAAAAUAUUUAGAACUAAAAUUUAAACAUCGAAAAUUUUCAAAAAUUGUGGGAGAUAAAGUAGUACUCAGAGGAAAAUUUAAAGCCUUAAAUCAUUUAUCCAAAAACAAAAAAAGAUUGAAACGAGCAAAUUUAAAAAAAAAACAAGAGGAAGGCAAUAAUGAAGAUAAGGCUAAAAAAUCAUUGAAAUAGAGGACAAAA